rnacentral:rRNA from 1 species
GUGCCAGCAGCCGCGGUAAGACAGAGGGUGCAAACGUUGUUCGGAAUUACUGGGCGUAAAGCUCGUGUAGGCUGCCCUGCAAGUCGGAUGUGAAAGCCCUGGGCUCAACCUAGGAAGUGCACUCGAAACUGCAGGGCUGGAGUCCUGGAGAGGAAGGCGGAAUUCUCGGUGUAGAGGUGAAAUUCGUAGAUAUCGAGAGGAACACCGGUGGCGAAGGCGGCCUUCUGGACAGUGACUGACGCUGAGACGCGAAAGCGUGGGGAGCAAACAGGAUUAGAUACCCGCGUAGUCC